UGGUGGUUGGUAUAGCCAAUGGUCAU
rnacentral:piRNA from 1 species